rnacentral:lncRNA from 1 species
AAGAAUAAAAGAAGAAGAUUGAGCUUCUUCUUUCUUUCUUAUUAUUAUUUUCCUUCCCUUUAUUCUUCCUUUUCUUCUUCUUCUUCUUAUUCUUCUAGUCUUCUUCUUCUUCUUCUUCUUCUUCUUCUUCUUCUCUUCUCCUUCUUCUUCUUCUUCUUCUUCUUCUACUACUACUUCUUCAUCAUCUUCUUCAACCUCAUCGUCAUCAUCAUAAUCUUCUUCUUCUUCUUCUUCUU